rnacentral:rRNA from 1 species
AUUGAACGCUGGCGGCAUGCCUUACACAUGCAAGUCGAACGGCAGCACGGGUGCUUGCACCUGGUGGCGAGUGGCGAACGGGUGAGUAAUACAUCGGAACAUGUCCUGUAGUGGGGGAUAGCCCGGCGAAAGCCGGAUUAAUACCGCAUACGAUCUACGGAUGAAAGCGGGGGACCGUCGGGCCUCGCGCCAUAGGGUUGGCCGAUGGCUGAUUAGCUAGUUGGUGGAGUGAAGGCCUACCAAGGCGACGAUCAGUAGCUGGUCUGAGAGGACGACCAGCCACACUGGGACUGAGACACGGCCCAGACUCCUACGGGAGGCAGCAGUGGGGAAUUUUGGACAAUGGGCGAAAGCCUGAUCCAGCAAUGCCGCGUGUGUGAAGAAGGCCUUCGGGUUGUAAAGCACUUUUGUCCGGAAAGAAAUCCUUGGCCCUAAUACGGUCGGGGGAUGACGGUACCGGAAGAAUAAGCACCGGCUAACUACGUG